UUUGAUUGGGGUACAUCUUUAUUCAUCUCUGACUCCAGUGUUCCAGUAGUUCUUGUGUACAGAGUAUCUCUGUAUAAUAUGUCUCUUUCUAUGUCUCCAUUUCUUUUAAUAGUGUUCAUUGUAUGUCUCGUUCCAUUGUUGAUAUUAGUUCAUCUUUAUCUCUCAUUAAUCUCUCUAGUCCAUGUAUCCUGUGCUUCUAUGAGGAUAUUACAUAUACAGCACUUACAUAUUGAUGUCUUUAUCCUGUGUAUGAAGUUUUAAACACAUCCAAUAUAAAAUUUUGAUGGUAGCAUGGAGCCAGCAUUUUUUAGAGGUGAUCCUUUUUGACUAAUUAUGAAGAGGGUUCAAUAAAAUCUGGGAAGAUUAUAGUAUUCAAAUCAUAAUGGUGAGGUAUAUCUCCUAACUAAAGGUGAUAAUAAUCAGGUUGAUGACAGAGGAUUGUACGCUCCAGAAAAGCUGUGGGUUAAAAUGGAUGAAGCAGUAGAACAUGCUAGAGGUUUCCUGCCAUACAUUGGAAUGGUCACAAUAAAUUAAUGAAGGAUUACCCAAAACUGAAAUAUCUUCUUUUAUAUGUGGCUUAGCAGUUUUUGUUAUACUGCAUAGGGAGUAGUCAUUAAUUGAUUCCUUUGAUCAUUACACUAUAAUCAUUAUUUUGUUGAAUAAAUUAAUAAUAUACUCUAAUUGGCAUCUUGCCAUAGAAUACCACAAAAAUCACUCACAAAAA